CAAAGGGGGCCUGUGUCCGGUUUCUCAUUUGCUGAGCGGCAGCAAGGCUCUGUCUAAACACUCGCUCUCACUGGUACACCAGGAGUGUGCGCCCUUUCCAAGAAGCCGCCCAAGUCCCGGAGCUCCGGGGCGGCCCAGGAACCCGGCUUUGCCCGGCCCGCUGACUGAGCGCUCUCCCGGCCUCAAGAAACGCGACACUUUUAUAAGGGAUUGGACGAGAUUUCUCUUGGAGGAGCCUCUCAGUCGGAUGCAGGUCUUGGCUAAUGUCACACGUGUCGCAGGAGCUGGGGAGCCGUCCCUGGGCCACACUGGCCGCGCUCAGCUAGCCUUUGUUUCCCCUACCCGACCCCCGCCCAGCGCUCACGUGGCCGUGGUUUUGCCUGCUAAAAAUAGAUGAGCGAUUGGUCUGAAGCUACAAGAGAGCCAAGAUGAUGCAAAAACUCUGUAGAAAAUCUAUGCCUUGGACAGUGAGCUGACCUUAGAUGCCAGGACAACAAAAUAUCAAAAUCACCUUCCUAAGGACCCAGCCUUGGUGAACAUAUUUGCCUAAUCAAAUGUCGAGUACACGCUCAGAAAAGAUUUUUGGACUUAUGAAAUUAUUUCUAUAAAAAUUCUUACCAAGAGACUCCUGGUGUCCUGCAUCCUGUCUGUCACACAGUCUUCAACCUCCCUACCAAGGAAAAAGACAGCCGAAAGAAGCGCGCGCCCCGCUCUGCGCAUGCGUGGACGAAUUUGCACGCUGUGUGAUUCCCGGUCCGCUCCCACCCGGGCCUCAUGGAACCCAUCGUGGGUCUGUUUGACGGUCACCCCACAUCCGAGUGAUGCAAAACGAGAACAGUAACCCGUCUCAAGAAGAGACUUCAAACUUCCCUUUUGAGUCAACUGGAAAUUUGGACAAAACUUCUGUUGACAUUAUAUCUGCCCCUUUCACUUUCGGUUCACGGAGACGCACUGACAUUUCUGAAAGGAUGUGGCUCUUCCUAGUGUGGCAAACGAUACAUUCAUGCCUAUGCACUUACAGGGAUGGUCUUUGUUCCUUGUCAUGAUCAAAUGCUCUGUUUUCUUGACUCUCCAGCCAAAAGUAAUCCUCUUUUCUUUUCAACUCUUUCAGCACUCCAUUUUUUCUUGAUUCAGUUAACAAACACGCAGGCAUUGUUAUUCUACCAGGCACUGUUAUUUGUACCGGGUGGUGGUGGUCAGCAGGACCAAUUUAUUGGUCAAUAAAUUACGAUGAAAACCCCUGACUUCGUGGAGCUUGUAUUAUCUACAGGUAGACAGGCCCCAAACACAAAAAGCUAACAUGUAUAGUAUGUUACAGGUUGACAGGUCAUGGAGAAUAAAACAGGGAUAGAGCUACGGAGUGUGGGAGGAUGGUAAAGCUUUUAUUUAU